rnacentral:misc_RNA from 1 species
GAUGAAGAACGCAGCGAAAUGCGAUACUUGGUGUGAAUUGCAGAAUCCCGUGAACCAUCGAGUCUUUGAACGCAAGUUGCGCCCGAAGCCACUAGGCCGAGGGCACGCCUGCCUGGGCGUCACACGUCGUUGCCCCCCACCAUCUACUCCUUCGGGAUUGCGGGGGGCGGAUGAUGGCCUCCCGUGCGCCUAGCCGCGCGGUUGGCAUAAAUACCAAGUCCUCGGCGACGCACGCCACGACAAUCGGUGGUUGCGAAACCUCGGUUGCCCGUCGUGUGCGUUCGUCGCGCAUCGAGGGCUCGAAAAAAUGCUCGGCUCCGGCUCGGCUUUCAACGCGACCCCAGGUCAGGCGGGGUUACCCGCUAAAUUUAAGCAUAUCAAUAAGCGGAGGA